AGCAAUUAGAAGUUGUAAAUGAUACGAGAAAAUUAAAACAUGUUCCCUAAGUAUCCGCGCCAUUGGCAUGGCAAGUACCCCUUGCUCUCCCUGUACGGAAAGUCUCUACCCACCAUGCCACGCUAUGCCGUGCUGUGCUGCGCUGUGCUACGGUUUGCCGUGCCAUCCUCAACCGCGUAGCGUGGCUAGUUGUUUCUUUUCUUUAUUCCUUUGUCGGAAAGUCGGUGGCGAGUCUCGUUUUUAAGAGAAGAGUAGAGGGGAGGAGGCAAAAGGAAAACGACAACCGCUCAGCAGGGGCUGAGGAAGGAAUGGUCGGGCUGGGGCUUCAGAGAGGGGUACAGGGAGGGAGGAAGGGCCACGCAGCAAGGAGAAUAAAACUGAACUGUCUUCCUGUCGUCUGGAGAGAGGUACGAUUGCUCUUUGCGAAUGCGACAAGCCGGCUUUUGCAUGGUAUCGCCCAUUCGAAAGCGUUGUCCGGCUUGGCGUCCGUUUCGUUUGCGUUAUUAUGUAAUGUUACGUGCGAAUAGCGUGUAUAUGGCACGCCGGUAAGAGGCUGUUGCACUAUUAAAGAAAAUUGCCCUCUCGCGGUGGUGAAUAGGAAGCGUCAUGCAUUCUUCGAUACGGUCAUCGAUCUGCUAUUCGAUCUAAGAACAUAAACUCUGCUAUAUAUAUACUUUAGAAGUUUUUUUUAUAUAUUAAUAAUAAAAGAAUAGUAAAUUGAAGAAAAAAAAACAGGAAGGAGAGGAUGAAGAGGAGAAAGGAAGAAAUAAGAGAGGAAAGAAGGUCCACGACCGGAUCUUAUAAUUACGCUAAUUAGGCAGUAACGUGUAAAAAGAGCGGCGCGAGUAUUUAUCACAAGGUAUCGUGGAAGGUAUACGGAGGUCGGCAAAGGAGGACGUCGUACGACAGAAUACGACAGGAAAGGCUAUAAUACAAUUUUGCCGCAAGCAUCACAAGUAACAGCAGCAGCUACGGCGGUAAGCAAGCGAACAGCAACGCCGGUGCCGAGAAACAGACAACUCUGACGUCGGUUUCGUUAUACGUUCCUCGCAUCUGACAGAUGUCUAAUUUAAAGAAAAUCCAAAAGUUGAAAUUCUUAAAAGCCGAUUCUUAAAAGUUUAGGUAUGGAAUGUUAGAUAUGGAAUUUGUUUGUUGAAUAAUAAAUACAUUUCAAAACAAUUAAACAAUUAUAUAAUAAAU